rnacentral:tRNA from 1 species
GUUUAAAUAGUUUAAAAAAAAUUUUGGUUUGUGGUACCAAAGAUAUAUGAAUUUUAUUUUAAACC